rnacentral:lncRNA from 1 species
UUUUUAUUCAAACCGUAGAAGUAGGCUUAGAGAAUAUUUUAAGAAAUGUGAUGAAUUUGGCCUAGAGAAAGAAAGGUUCCUAAACCUUGUCCCACUAGAUGGAAUUACAUGUAUAAAAAGUUGUUGCAUAUGAAUAGAAGAACCGAAUAAGUGCAACGUAUAAUGCUCGUGUAGUUGAUGGUGGUGGUGAUGAUGAUGAGCACCUUACAAAUCAAGAUUGGAGUAGUGUUAAAAUGCUUGUAGAUUUUUUAGAACAAUUUCAUAUUGCUACAAAUGAAUUGUCUGGCCAAUAUUAUCCUACU